GUCAUGGUCCUCCGGAUAAACAGAGAAAAGUUGUAGAAAGAGAGAGAGGAGAGGGAAGGUAAAAAGUUUCAGAGGAGUCCUUCUUUCUGGUCUUGAAUGAAGUUCUUCUUUCAAGGGUUUAAUGGCGAAUCUACUUAGAAAUCGAAAGAGGGUUUUCCCUCUAUGUCGUGCUCCUGAUGGAAGUGCCUUCCAAAAAUGUGAUUUAUGUGGGGUUUCAGUUGCAAUUGCCAUUUAUGAUAUGCAUGAAUGUAAGCUAAAACAAGGAACAAAAGGAGGAAAGAAGAGAAACAAAAAAUGUGAAUCAUUUACUAAGGAUGAAGAUCAAAGAAAGACUGUGAAAUGUGAAGAUGAUGGAACUAAUCAAACUAUUGAUGAUGGUGGAAAGGGUUUCUCUGACCAACCAAGAUCAGCUUUUUGCUUUUUCAUGGAAAGUUUACAAAAGGGUAAUUUUUUAGAUGUUGAUGGAAAAGGGUUUGAGAAAUGGAAGUGUAUGUCAGUUGAGGAAAGAAGCCCUUUUGUCCUUGAAGCUGAAAAGGUGAAUUCAGCUCAUGAGAAUAUCUUACUCAAAGAAGUCCAAGUUGAACCGCUGAUGGAUGAUGAGGCAGAUUCAGCAAUGGUCAAUCGAUACGAUAUGGACAUUGGCGAGGAUGAUGAUUUCUGGGGGCCUGGUGAGAUGUACCGUCUUCAUAGGGGAUACUCAUGUUCGUGGAUUAAUGAUUCAACUGUUGAUCUCGUGCUGAGUCAGUAAUUAGAAAGGGAAGGUCGUAAUCAUCUGUUUUUCUUGUAAAUCUUGAGAAAAUAUGCUGAUCACGCUGUUGAGGCCCUGCUUAUUUUCGCACAAAGAGUUGUGAACAAUCAGUAACAGUGGAAGAUUGCGAAAACAUGGCACCACAUCUAAUCCGUCAAUCUUGUGAGGUUCCUGGCAUUGUGCUCCAAGUUUUUGAUGGGGAUAGUUUGUAAUUGCUGAAUAUACUAUAGGAAAGCAAAUGAGCUAGCCUCAAAUUGUUGGGUCGUAAAUUUUUUAAUUUUUCUUACAUGUACCCAACUGGUGUUUUUAUAUAGUUUUAGGCUUGCGCCAUUAAUAAGAAAGGAAUUU